rnacentral:tRNA from 1 species
GCAGAAGUAGUUCAGCGGUAGAAUACAACCUUGCCAAGAUUGGGGUCGCGGGUUCGAAUCCCGUCUUCUGCUCCA